GAUGAACGCUGGCGGCGUGCCUAAUACAUGCAAGUCGAGCGAACGGACGAGAAGCUUGCUUCUCUGAUGUUAGCGGCGGACGGGUGAGUAACACGUGGAUAACCUACCUAUAAGACUGGGAUAACUUCGGGAAACCGGAGCUAAUACCGGAUAAUAUUUUGAACCGCAUGGUUCAAAAGUGAAAGACGGUCUUGCUGUCACUUAUAGAUGGAUCCGCGCUGCAUUAGCUAGUUGGUAAGGUAACGGCUUACCAAGGCAACGAUGCAUAGCCGACCUGAGAGGGUGAUCGGCCACACUGGAACUGAGACACGGUCCAGACUCCUACGGGAGGCAGCAGUAGGGAAUCUUCCGCAAUGGGCGAAAGCCUGACGGAGCAACGCCGCGUGAGUGAUGAAGGUCUUCGGAUCGUAAAACUCUGUCAUUAGGGAAGAACAUAUGUGUAAGUAACUGUGCACAUCUUGACGGUACCUAAUCAGAAAGCCACGGCUAACUACGUGCCAGCAGCCGCGGUAAUACGUAGGUGGCAAGCGUUAUCCGGAAUUAUUGGGCGUAAAGCGCGCGUAGGCGGUUUUUUAAGUCUGAUGUGAAAGCCCACGGCUCAACCGUGGAGGGUCAUUGGAAACUGGAGAACUUGAGUGCAGAAGAGGAAAGUGGAAUUCCAUGUGUAGCGGUGAAAUGCGCAGAGAUAUGGAGGAACACCAGUGGCGAAGGCGACUUUCUGGUCUGUAACUGACGCUGAUGUGCGAAAGCGUGGGGAUCAAACAGGAUUAGAUACCCUGGUAGUCCACGCCGUAAACGAUGAGUGCUAAGUGUUAGGGGGUUUCCGCCCCUUAGUGCUGCAGCUAACGCAUUAAGCACUCCGCCUGGGGAGUACGACCGCAAGGUUGAAACUCAAAGGAAUUGACGGGGACCCGCACAAGCGGUGGAGCAUGUGGUUUAAUUCGAAGCAACGCGAAGAACCUUACCAAAUCUUGACAUCCUUUGACAACUCUAGAGAUAGAGCCUUCCCCUUCGGGGGACAAAGUGACAGGUGGUGCAUGGUUGUCGUCAGCUCGUGUCGUGAGAUGUUGGGUUAGGUCCCGCAACGAGCGCAACCCUUAAGCUUAGUUGCCAUCAUUAAGUUGGGCACUCUAAGUUGACUGCCGGUGACAAACCGGAGGAAGGUGGGGAUGACGUCAAAUCAUCAUGCCCCUUAUGAUUUGGGCUACACACGUGCUACAAUGGACAAUACAAAGGGCAGCGAAACCGCGAGGUCAAGCAAAUCCCAUAAAGUUGUUCUCAGUUCGGAUUGUAGUCUGCAACUCGACUACAUGAAGCUGGAAUCGCUAGUAAUCGUAGAUCAGCAUGCUACGGUGAAUACGUUCCCGGGUCU
rnacentral:rRNA from 1 species